CGAGUCGACCGGGCGGCCGCGUCGGUGCCACGUUUCGCGGCACCGCCGAGGAACGUCCGGGCUCCACAGGGCAGGGUGGUUGCUAACGGCAACCCGGGGUGACCCGCGGGAAAGUGCCACAGAAAACAGACCGCCCAGCAGGGUAAGGGUGAAACGGUGGGGUAAGAGCCCACCAGCGCCCCGGGUGACCGGGGCGGCUCGGUAAACCCCACCCGGAGCAAGGUCAAAAGGGCCUACGGGCCUGCGCAGGCGUUCGAGGGCGGCCCGCCCGAGCCUGCGGGUGGACCGCUGGAGCCUGCCGGCGACGGCAGGCCGAGAUGGAUGGCCGCCCCCUGCCACAGGCAGGGACAGAACCCGGCGUACAGGUCGACUCGUCCG
rnacentral:RNase_P_RNA from 1 species